UCUGCUCAGGAUGAACGCUGGCGGCGUGCCUAAUACAUGCAAGUCGAGCGAAUGGAUUGAGAGCUUGCUCUCAAGAAGUUAGCGGCGGACGGGUGAGUAACACGUGGGUAACCUGCCCAUAAGACUGGGAUAACUCCGGGAAACCGGGGCUAAUACCGGAUAACAUUUUGAACUGCAUGGUUCGAAAUUGAAAGGCGGCUUCGGCUGUCACUUAUGGAUGGACCCGCGUCGCAUUAGCUAGUUGGUGAGGUAACGGCUCACCAAGGCAACGAUGCGUAGCCGACCUGAGAGGGUGAUCGGCCACACUGGGACUGAGACACGGCCCAGACUCCUACGGGAGGCAGCAGUAGGGAAUCUUCCGCAAUGGACGAAAGUCUGACGGAGCAACGCCGCGUGAGUGAUGAAGGCUUUCGGGUCGUAAAACUCUGUUGUUAGGGAAGAACAAGUGCUAGUUGAAUAAGCUGGCACCUGACGGUACCUACC
rnacentral:rRNA from 1 species